AAUGCCCGCAAGGGUGACCCAGCAACGCCGCGUGGAGGAUGAAGGCCGUAAGGUUGUAAACUCCUGUUAGAGGAGACGAAUGAUCGUAAUUCGUAAGGAUUAUGAUUUGACUGUACCCUCAGAGAAAGCCCCGGCUAACUACGUGCCAGCAGCCGCGGUAAUACGUAGGGGGCAAGCGUUGUCCGGAUUUACUGGGUGUAAAGGGCGCGCAGGCGGGUUUGCAAGUCAGUGGUGAAAGCCUACAGCUUAACUGUAGAACUGCCUUUGAUACUGUUAUUCUUGAGUUCGGGAGAGAGAGACGGAAUUCCAGGUGUAGUGGUGAAAUACGUAGAUAUCUGGAAGAACACCAGUUGCGAAGGCGGUCUCUUGGUCCGAUACUGACGCUGAGGCGCGAAAGCGUGGGGAGCAAA
rnacentral:rRNA from 1 species